rnacentral:rRNA from 1 species
ACGCUCGACACCUACGGGAGCAGCAGUGGGGAAUAUUGCACAAUGGAGGAAACUCUGAUGCAGCGAUGCCGCGUGAGGGAAGAAGGUUUUCGGAUUGUAAACCUCUGUCUUUGGGGACGAUAAUGACGGUACCCAAGGAGGAAGCUCCGGCUAACUACGUGCCAGCAGCCACGGUAAUCUGAGCGGGCUGGCAAGGC